AUUGAACGCUGGCGGCAGGCCUAACACAUGCAAGUCGAGCGGAUGAAGAGAGCUUGCUCUCUGAUUCAGCGGCGGACGGGUGAGUAAUGCCUAGGAAUCUGCCUGGUAGUGGGGGACAACGUUUCGAAAGGAACGCUAAUACCGCAUACGUCCUACGGGAGAAAGCGGGGGAUCUUCGGACCUCACGCUAUCAGAUGAGCCUAGGUACGAUUAGCUAGUUGGCGAGGUAAAGGCUCACCAAGGCGACGAUCGUUAACUGGUCUGAGAGGAUGAUCAGUCACACUGGAACUGAGACACGGUCCUGACUCCUACGGGAGGCAGCAGUGGGGAAUAUUGGACAAUGGGCGAAAGCCUGAUCCAGCCAUGCCGCGUGUGUGAAGAAGAUCUUCGGAUUGUAAAGCACUUUAAGUUGGGAGGAAGGGCAGUAAGUUAAUACCUUGCUGUUUUGACGUUACCGACAGAAUAAGCACCGGCUAACUUCGUGCCAGCCGCCGCCGUAA
rnacentral:rRNA from 1 species